rnacentral:rRNA from 1 species
UACGGAGGGGGCGAGCGUUAUUCGGAAUUAUUGGGCGUAAAGGGCGCGUAGGCGGCUGUACAAGUCAAAGGUGAAAUCCCUCGGCUCAACUGAGGAACUGCCUUUGAAACUGUACGGCUUGAGGCCGGGAGGGGGUAGCGGAAUUCCCAAUGUAGCGGUGAAAUGCGUAGAUAUUGGGAGGAACACCGGUGGCGAAGGCGGCCCCCUGGACCGGUACUGACGCUGAGGCGCGAAAGCGUGGGUAGCAAACGGG